rfam:Oryzias latipes DNA, chromosome5, strain: Hd-rR.
UUUAGGUACGGAGACAUGGUACCAAAAACUAUCGCUGGAAAGAUUUUUGGUUCCAUUUGCUCCCUUAGCGGCGUGCUGGUGAUCGCUCUGCCAGUUCCAGUCAUCGUCUCCAAC